GAUGAACGCUAGCGGCAGGCCUAAUACAUGCAAGUCGAACGGUGUCUUCGGACAUAGUGGCGCACGGGUGCGUAACACGUAUGCAACCUACCUUACAUUGGGGGAUGGCCUUUCGAAAGGGAGAUUAAUACCGCAUAAGACAGUAACUAGGCAUCUAGUAGCUGUUAAAGAUUUAUCGAUGUAAGCUGGGCAUGCGUCCAAUUAGCUAGUUGGUGAGGUAACGGCUCACCAAGGCAAUGAUUGGUAGGGGAACUGAGAGGUCAAUCCCCCACACUGGAACUGAGAUACGGGCCAGACUCCUACGGGAGGCAGCAGUGGGGAAUAUUGGGCAAUGGACGCAAGUCUGACCCAGCCAUGCCGUGUGCAGGAUGAAGGCGUUAUGCGUUGUAAACUGCUUUUAUACAGGAAGAAACGACUCUUGCGAGAGGCAUUGACGGUACUGUAUGAAUAAGCACCGGCUAACUCCGUGCCAGCAGCCGCCGUAACAC
rnacentral:rRNA from 1 species